GUGCAGCGGUAAUCAGGUGUCUCUGGGUCCUUGUUUGUUCUCAUCACUAGGCUAAAGAGGUCACAGAUUAUUCCUUAUUCAUCUCUGUAUUUCCAGGGCUGAGGACAAAGCCAACUACUAUGGGCACCCAGCGUGGACCACCAUGGGCCCACAGUACAUAUGUCGGCAGAAGCUGGCAGGAGAUCAGAUGCUACUUCAAUUCCAAGUGGCUCAUGAACAAAAGCUGUGAAGUUGCUAAGAAACCUGCUUCUCUGAGGGUU